GUUAAAUCGAGAUAUUACAGUUGGAUUUCGUGACUGGUCAAGCCCCACCCCUCUGACUGUGGUGUGGGUGGAGUCAGCCUCCAACUUCCCUGUUUGGUUACUCUUUAAGUAAUUUUACAAUAAUUUUAAAAAAAUUGUGAAAAUACACAAAAAUUACACAUAUUUUCAGUUUGUGAUAAAUAUCUGCAUUUGAUGUCCACAAAGUCUGACUCUUAAUUUAUGAAAAGGUGAAUGGGAUUGAUGCAAAGUAACAGUCUGGGAAGCUCCCUGCAUAUAAACGUGAAGUCCUUUUAGUUGAUUAAAACGUCUGAGGAACACGUCCAACUCCUCACAAGGACGCACGCCGCCGCACACGCAACGACAGCGAGAUGAGGACGAGAUGGAUAUGAGUACACCUCAGAGUUUGGCUGCAAGCCUCUGCAGAUGAAACGGGACGUGUAUGAAGUGACACAAGGGAGCAAAUAGGAAAAAAAAUCUGUUUAAACGCCGUGGGCCGCGCCAGAGGGACUCUGACUAGAACACAUGGACGCGGUGUCACAGUAUCUCAGCCCGUCACCGUGUGUGUGUGCGCCCCGGCCUGACAGGUGCCACACAGCAUCGACGCAAACGGCCGUCAGAGGGGUCUUGGAUCCGCUGCCAACGCUCUCAUCUACUCCGGUUGCAACCUAAUGAGCGAGAAGGGGUACACGAGGUCUAUGUGGCCACUCAAACAUUUUCCCGGUCUGACUACCCACACCGGAUCCGACUCCCAAUCAUGGGCUAAUAUGGAAGAGGGUAAAGAGCAGAGCAGUUAAAGAGGUGGAUGAGGCAUCUCUCCUUCAGGAUUCCUAAAAGAUUCGAGGACAUCAGCCCCGUCUAGACAAAGUCCUCUAAUCUAGUUACAGGAAAAAAAAAAAAAAGAGGAGGUGCACGUCGCCCCUUUCGCUCGCAUGUACACGUUGCCGUGGCAACACCGAACACAGAGGCAGCGAAAAGGAGCAGCCAGUCUUUUAUGAGGCUGAGCGAGAGCAGCGACACCUGUACGACUCCAGUAACCAUAACUCAACACAGACACCGGCUGAGGGUUUAGCUGAUUUGAAGCCUGUUUUGGAGUCCAGUGUCCACUUGACCACCUCAAACCCAUUGGAUAAAGCCGCCCACCUCAGAUUUCCAGCACCGGAACACACAGGUAACCCACCCGCCCACAACCCCCACCCCCAUGUGUGCACAGGGAAGCAGCCGCUCAUAAAAUGAAGAGAUCACAGGCUUAUCGAAUAACUGGGGGGUCAAAGGUCAGCAGCUGUUGCUUUAUUGCUUUGAGUUCACAUAUAACAUAUAUAAGUGUCAGAUAGAAGUAAAAAAAAAA